UGUCUCCUUACAGCUCAGGAGAGGAGAGAGAGGGGUCUCCUUACAGCUUAGGGGAGGAGAGAGAGGGGUCUCCUUACAGCUUAGGCGAGGAGAGAGGAGAGAGAGGGGUCUCCUUACAGCUUAGAGGAGGAGAGAGAGAGGUCUCCUUACAGCUUAGGGGAGGAGAGAGAGGGGUCUCCUUACAGCUUAGGGGAGGAGAGAGAGGGGUCUCCUUACAGCUUAGGGGAGGAGAGAGCGGGAGGUGAGGAAGAGGUGCUUAGUGUAUUUGUUUACUUUCAUCUCCUGUUUUCUCAGCACCUAUUACUGUCAGCACGGUGGUUACUGAGGUUACAGUAGAGAAGGAAACAUGAGGACCGUGUGACAAUGUAAUGGCGUGCUACUAAUAAACCGUCGCCAUGCACGCACACAGUACUACACCGCGUGUGUGUGUGCGUUGUUCUCCUUUCCAGCAGGUCACCCCUGUCAUGUCCCCAUUCCCCCACAUGGGCAUUGCAGUUGAGGGUAGUUGUUGGUUGAGUCCAGGAAGGUGAAAUAGAUUAAAGCACCUCACCUCCUUCACUAAAACAAAUUGAAUUAGGUGUUGAAAUGUCAGAGCUUGUUGUGAAGGACAGGCUGCUUCAGCUGUGAGAGUUCGACGAGGACAAGGUCUUAUUGAUGAGAUAGGGGUUUAAAAUGAAGCGUUACUGAAUGAUUGACAUUUGAUACUCCCCUGGCUGAUUUCUGUCCAUUGUAUUGUUAUUUAAACGACACAGAAAUGUAAUAUAGUUUAAACAUGACAUUUACAAGGUUCCCGAAACAGGUUAUAUAAGGGAAACCAGAGAAAGUCAACUUUAGCUUGGGAAACGAUCCUUGGAAACAGUUUCUGAGCUCCAUUUUUCUGAGCCUUGUACUGUACUGUAGUGCUAGCGGAAGAGCAGUUGACUUCGAGGCUUCCCCGUCGCUCUUUUAUUUGGCCACCACUUUAAAGACCAUCGAUGGUUUCCUGCUGGAAAGGAGGAACUACUGUUGUCAUUAGUGUUUAGAAGACAGAUCUUUACAUUUCUACGGAACAAAAAAUUUAAACGCAACAUGCAACAAUUUCAAAGAUUUUUCUGAAUUGCAGUUCAUAUGAGGAAAUCGGUUAAUUGAAAUCAAUUCAUCAGGCCGUUUUAUCUAUGGAUUUCACGACUGAAUACUGAUAUGCAUCUGUUGGUCGCAGAUACCUUUAAAAAAAAAAAAAAUGGGCCUCAGGAAUUUGUCACGUUAUUUUUGAGCAUUCAAAUUGCCAUUGAUAAAAAAGCUAUUGUGUUUGUUGUCUGUAGCUUAUGCCUGCCUAUAUCAUAACCCCACCAAAACCAUGGGGCACUCUGUUCACAACGUUGACAUCAGCAAACCACUCGCCCACACAACGCCAUACACAUGAUGUGCGGUUGGUUGGUUGGACGUACUGACGACAAAUUCUCUAAAACGACAUAGGAGGUGGGUUAUUGUAGAGAAAUGAACAUUCAAUUAUCUGGCAACAGCUCUGGUGGACAUUCCUGCAGUCCGCAUGACAAUUGCACACUCCCUCAACUUGAGACAUCUGUGGCAUUGUGUUCUGCACAUUUUAGUGGCCUUUUAUUGUCCCCAGCACAAGGUGCACCUGAUCAUGCUGUUUAAUCACCUUCUUGAUAUGCCACACCUGUCAGGUGGAUGGAUUAUCUUGGCAAAGGAGAAAUGCUCACUAACAGGGAUGUAAACUAAUUUGCACACAACAUUUGAGGCGAAAUAACCUUUUUAUGUUUUCGUAUCGAAACAACCCCUGGUUGGUGUGUCUGAAAAUCAUGCCGUGUGUUUUGUAACACUCUCUGCGUCGUUGUGUUGUGGUCCCAUGCAGACAACUACAUCUCAAGCCAUACGAUCUGUCUCGGGACUCUGAGAUGAAUUGGUGUAUGACAAUGCUAUGUCACGUUGCAGCAGCCUUUGUUCAAUAUUUCCUGUAGGGAAGGAAAUGUCCUGCUCAAAGCAGAGGAAGGUGAACAUUUUAUAAGUGGCUUCAAUGUCUUGCUUCACUCAUUUUCUUAAUUGUUCAAAUGCAAAUGAAUGUUUGUGUCUUUUCUCGGCUCCACGCUGAAUUAUUUUUGACAUUUGAUGGAUUGUUGAAGCUAUGUCUGUAUGAAUUCUCUUGCCUCGUUUUGAAGUGUGCUUAUGGAAUCCUAGCGAGCAGGGGUAUUAUGUUCUACAGGACUAAGUUUGGCCACGCUUGUGGUUUCUGUCUGCGUUCUGUGUGCUUUACAUCGGUUCGUGUGUUUAUUUGCAUUUGUAUAAUUGUUGCUACAUGUGAUUUUAACAUUCGGUUCACAUGCUUUAUUUGGGUUCAUUUGCUUUAUAUUUCUUCAUGUGUUCUACAAUGUGUUAAUGUGCUUCAUUUGGGUUCAUUUACUUUAUUUUGCUUCAUUUACUUUAUAUUCAGUUCACAUUGGGUUCAUACACUAUUUACAUUGGGUCCAUGUGCUUUAUUUGUUAAUUUAGCUUUAUAUUCCUUCAUGUGCUUUUACAUGGGUCUAUAUGCUUUUUAAAGUGGUUGGUUACCAAACUGGAACCGAACUAGACUGACAUUAGAGACCAAAUGCUUCUUUCAUCCAAACUAGUGUCAUUUAAAAAAAAAAAAAGAUUGUUCUCCUUACAUGGGUAAGUCGGAGCAGUAGGUCAUGGGUAUAAAAACAACCUCGAUAGGACUAUGACCGUUGACAACAUGUCAGAUGUUUAUUAUGGCCUGACCCAUUACUGGCCGUAGGGUAAAGGAGCUUUCUGCUUUUUCUUUUCCCCUGCUGAGAAUCGACAGGUGGCUGGACUUGAGAAAAUUAUCCCACAGUCAUCAUUUGUAUGUGUCCAAAGGGAUUUGCUUGUCUAAAAAAAAACUUAAAAAACUUCUGAGUUAUCUCACUCCCGAAGUGCACGUGUGGAUUUAACUCCUUACUCAAAACAUACUGCAGCCUGGUACGUAAGUGAUAAACAACGCAGGACAAUGUAUGUGGACGUCCUUUCCCUACCUCUUGAGACUGUAACAAUUUGCCGCACCAUAUUGAUAGAAGCACUUUAAACAAUACCUUUUUUUAAGCGAUACCUUUAACUCAAAAACUCACGUUAAAGCAAGAGGAAUAAGUACGUGGGUUUUUGGUCACACAGGCUUUGCAUGGCAAGUGUAACAGGGGAUGUAUGUGUGGCACAAUAGUUUUACUGUUCUCUUCUUUUCUGUUUUAAUGUCAACUAAUUGAUCUCCAGUGAUUUGCAAAUGUGUACUUUGCAAUAAUACAAAUAUUUUAUUUUCUAUACAAGUGAAUUCAAAUAUAUACGUUGAUAUGUUAUAUAAAUAUAUAAUGUUACUGUACAAACAUCAAACUGUAUGAGAAGUGACAACUGUGCACUGUGUUGUCGGUUAGCCUAGCUUAAGUAUUACAUCCUUAUAUUACGAAAACAAACUAAUGCAGUAAUGUUGAAAUGAAACAAUAUACCAAAUUAAAGUUGUAAUUUAUAAAUAAAUGUUUCUCUGAUACAA